GUAGACUCUGUAGAUAUAAGGAAGCAUUUUUGAGUAUGCUUUGUGGCAGUGCGGCUCAACGUUGUGCUCUCUUUUUCAACCUUGUCACUGUUUUGGGAAGGUGCAUGCUCGCGAGGCUGUCGAUUGUGCUAUCUCGAUGAGUGUGCGGUACCUGAUGGUGUCGAGCUCGUCAUCGUCAUGCUGUCAUUGUCAUAAUCGACUGCUGUGACGUGCUCCGGGGCUCAAAACACUCGCUGGGUACCGUCGUUGUGGACUGCGAAUUCCUCAGCCAGUCUCUGCUCCACAGCUCACCUUAGAACAUGCAUGGGGUGAAGGGUAUUCGGUGCAAGACCAUACGUCUCGCUUAGGGACUUGGAUAGUCUGCCUAAGAAAAGCGUCACUCUUGCGGUGUAACGCCUGCCAGUCAGAUUCCCGCUGCCGUCUACAUAUGCGUUUGAGACCAAGGUGUUUACUGCUUCAACUGAAGCAAUAGCGACCGCGAUGGUGACGGUGCUGUGGUAGACACUCGCCUUCCGCUAUGUCUACCAAUACUGGUGUGGCUACUUUGUAGUCGGACCCUUGUAAUUAGAUAGUACAUGCUGCGUCAAGCCAACAGACACAGUAGGGAGGUCAGCGUUGUGGAAAGUCGUUUACGUUAGCGAUCUGACUCGAGGAGAUAGGCGUUGAGGCAGCAGCACUCAUCAGCAAUUCACGGCAUCUACCUUUUGACUACAUCCAAAGUUGUCUCGGAUAUUACAAGCAGCUGUCGACGUGGCACAGAGUAUGUUUUGCCAUUAUGGGGCCGUGCCAACAGGUCGCGAUCAGUGAAUUGUUCAAAUAAGCUAGGGUGGCAUGUCAUCAGUGCUUGGAAAGCCCCCAUUGUAGCUUUUGUGAUUUUGUUCACUGGAAUGAUUUUAAGUCUGUAGCUCAUGGCUUGGCUCAUUCAAUAAAAAAGAUACUUUUUUACGAAAUGUGCCCGUGACCACGGCACAUGUCGGC
rnacentral:lncRNA from 1 species